CCGUCUUGCCCGGGGUGCACACGCGAUGUGCUGAGAUGGUGAUCCGAACCCGCGAACUUGAUCCGGUUAAUGCCGGCGUAAGAAGAGCCUGACCUGCAUCCA
rfam:Curvibacter sp. PAE-TM genomic scaffold Scaffold1, whole genome shotgun sequence.